CCUACGGGUGGCAGCAGUGAGGAAUAUUGGUCAAUGGACGAGAGUCUGAACCAGCCAAGUAGCGUGGAGGAUGACUGCCCUAUGGGUUGUAAACUUCUUUUAUAAAGGAAUAAAACGAGGCACGUGUGCCUUUUUGCAUGUACUUUAUGAAUAAGGAUCGGCUAACUCCGUGCCAGCAGCCGCGGUAAUACGGAGGAUCCGAGCGUUAUCCGGAUUUAUUGGGUUUAAAGGGAGCGUAGAUGGGUUGUUAAGUCAGUUGUGAAAGUUUGCGGCUCAACCGUAAAAUUGCAAUUGAUACUGGCAGUCGUGAGUACAGUUGAGGUAGGCGGAAUUCGUGGUGUAGCGGUGAAAUGCUUAGAUAUCACGAAGAACCCCGAUUGCGAAGGCAGCUUACUAAACUGUGACUGACAUUGAUGCUCGAAAGUGUGGGUAUCAAACAGGAUUAGAUACCCUGGUAGUC
rnacentral:rRNA from 1 species